UGCAUAGUUUUAGCCAUUGGAUUUCCCUCAAAACUCACCUAAUGACUCCUCCAACCAUAUUAUGAUGUUGACCAAGCUUUGGGCUUAAUCCGAUAACGAUUGGCCAAUAAAAUUAGACAAUUCAAGUUCGUACAAACCUCGUUCCGUAAAUGGAGUGGUUGGGGUAUUGCAUAGUUUUAGGCAAUGUAUUUCACUCAAAACUCAC
rnacentral:lncRNA from 1 species